rnacentral:tRNA from 7 species
GCGGGAGUAGCUCAGCUGGUAGAGCAUCACCUUGCCAAGGUGGGGGUCGCCGGUUCGAAUCCGGUCUCCCGCUCCA